rnacentral:rRNA from 1 species
UACAGAGGUGUCAAACGUUGUCCGGAAUUAUUGGGCGUAAAGGGCGCGUAGGCGGUUGGAUAAGUCAGCUGUGAAAUCACUGGGCUCAACCCAGUAAUUGCAUUUGAUACUGUCUAGCUUGAGUUGGGUAGAGGAGGGCGGAAUUCCCGGUGUAGCGGUGAAAUGCGUAGAUAUCUGGAGGAACACCCGUGGCGAAGGCGGCUCUCUGGUCCGAAACUGACGCUGAGGUGCGAAAGCUAGGGUAGCAAACAGG